CCCUUAGAUGUUCUGGGCCGCACGCGCGCUACACUGACGAUGGCAACGAGUUUUUCCUUCGCCGAAAGGUGUGGGUAAUCUUUUGAAACAUCGUCGUGCUGGGGAUAGAUCAUUGCAAUUUUUGAUCUUGAACGAGGAAUUCCUAGUAAGCGCGAGUCAUCAGCUUGCAUUGAUUACGUCCCUGCCCUUUGUACACACCGCCCGUCGCUCCUACCGAUUGAAUGAUCCGAUGAAUAUCAUGGAUUGAGGAUGCAAGCAGGUUCGCCUGUCUUCAUCUUCGAGAAGUGAAGUAAAUCUUAUCAUUUAGAGGAAGGAGAAGUCGUAACA
rnacentral:rRNA from 1 species